UACGGAGGAUGCAAGCGUUAUCCGGAAUGAUUGGGCGUAAAGCGUCCGCAGGUGGCUAUGUAAGUCUGCUGUUAAAGAGUCUAGCUCAACUAGAUAAGAGCAGUGGAAACUACACGGCUAGAGUGCGUUCGGGGCAGAGGGAAUUCCUGGUGUAGCGGUGAAAUGCGUAGAGAUCAGGAAGAACACCGGUGGCGAAAGCGCUCUGCUAGGCCGCAACUGACACUGAGGGACGAAAGCUAGGGGAGCGAAUGGG
rnacentral:rRNA from 1 species